GAUUGAGGAUCAACUGGAGUGAGGACAUUGGAGAGCAGGCAAGUUGCGAACCUAUGUGUUUGGACUACUUUGAGUUGAGCGAUGAAGGCUAAGGACAUAUGGCUUAUAGUGGAGCUUAAGAAUUGGAUUGGUAGUGACUGACUCUGUGGACAUGAGGAGACUGAAUAUAUCCACCCUCAACAGAUAAGUGAUUUCUGUAUAUAUUGAGGAGACUGUGUAGCUAUGCUAGGAAACUAAUAGUGUUGUAAACCUGACUCUACACAUGGCUGGUCCUCUUCACCUUGCUCGCUGACUCCCUCGACUGGUAAAUAAGUUACCAGCUCCGUGUGACGACGGACUGGCAUCUCUUAUGCGAGCUGGUUAUUUCAUGCCUUCCCACUGUGCGAGGUAUUGCUCCAUACUUUGUUUGCACUGUGUGUUAUUGCAUGGCGCUUGUUUGUAGUGGUCAUAUGCUGUGCAUGUUUGGUUGGAGUAUCCACCUUGUAUGAAUACUUUGAGUGCAGUUUCAUUCACAAAUAUAUUUAACUUGGGUAAUUUCUCUCACUCCACAGGAGCGUGAGACACAUUGGCUGAGAGUGUUAAUAAAAAAACCUUGUACAUUGUUGCCUUGUAACAACAGAAUCUAGAGAGCUGCUGCUACAGUACAUCCCGCAGACCUCCUUCUUCACUGUUACGCUCUAACCAUCUGAGUCUGGAGAGCCGUUGUUGUAUCAAGUUACACUGUCCCAUUGCUGUUACGCUCCAACCGCCUGUGUGGAGGGAACCAGAUUUUAUAUUGAAGUGAUCCAGACAACAACAUGAAGAUUAAACCGCUUCAGCUCUUGGUAUUAAUCUGUUGUCAGUAUGCAGUAUCAAAUCUAUUAACUGAUCUGGGAUCAAAUGUGAUCAUAAACUGUGAUCUUGAUGAAAAUGAGGUUUAUUGGAUUUUACUGAAAACAGCAGAUCCUCCAACAGUCAUUCUACGAUCUUUCUCAACACCAACAAAAUCACCUUUUUACCAUAAUAAAUCAUUCAGAAAGAAAUAUUCAGUGCAGUUUAAACAUGGUCUGGUUAUUAAUAAUGUGACUGCUGAUGAAUUAGGAGUUUAUUACUGUAUGAACACAGAAACACCUCCAAAACUCAGCAACAGCACCAGAAUAUACUUCAACGGUGAGUGACAGUCUGAUAUUCAGUGUGAUUAUUGACAUUUGUUUUUUACUACAGUUUUAUAAGAAAAAAAUGUAAGCCCUCUCAUUGUUUGCUUCACAUAGAGAUGAAUCUAUUAUAAAUAUUUGAUUUAGUUCUAUAAAACUGUAUCAUUGUCAUUGUGCUCCAGUAAAACACUGACAGUAACAGACUGUGCAUGUUUUCUUUACAGAAUCAGUUCAACCAUCUGCGAGGUACAAUCAAACACAAUGGCAAAUUAUUAUCAUCAUAUCUGGUCUGAUGAAUGGGUUUCUGAUCAUUGUGCUGAUCGUUUUCGCUGCUAAAAAAGCAGAAUGGUUGGAAAAGUCUGUUUAUAAUGCUGAUCUGCAGACAAAAGUUACAUAUCGGCUUCAGGAUGCAAAACUUUUAACAGUACAAUAAGUGUGCCGAGGUGAAGAACUAGUCGUCUGAAUAUUGAAUAUUUAAAUUAAAUGUAAUAUUUCCCCCAUUACUGGUCAGUAAACAACAACAAGACAGUUUAGGAGUUAGUCAUGCAUUAAGCAUCUCUGUCAGAUUCAUUGAAACUCCUUUAUCAAGUCUGAUGUAAAGUUUUUGAUCCAGUUCAUUCACAUUUAGCCAUUAAAAUGUUUUUGCGUGUAACAUUAAAUCAACUGAAAACAAAUCAAAGUCAGACCUUAUACGGUGUUACAUAGCAAUUUAACAAUGUACUUCUUACUUUGUUACUUUGUUAACUAUUUCAGAAAUGAAAACAUAUUUGUGUUUUAUAUAAUUUUGCAUUUAGCAAAAAAAUGUAUG